rnacentral:misc_RNA from 1 species
UUUCCGUAGGUGAACCUGCGGAAGGAUCAUUAUUGUAUAACCGAGGUGCGAGGGCUGUCGCUGACCCGAAAGGUCGUGCACGCCCGAGUGCCCUCACACACAUACAUCUCACCCCUAUGUGCACCUCCGCGUGGGUCCCCCUUUGGCUUGUUCGGAGGGGGGCUUACGUUUUCACACAAACUUUGUAUGCAGUGUAGAAUGUAUUUUUUGUUUUUGCGAUCACGCAAUCAAUACAACUUUCAACAACGGAUCUCUUGGCUCUC